GACGAACGCUGGCGGCGUGCCUAAUACAUGCAAGUCGAACGCAGUGGGGACGGGUGAGUAACACGUGGGUAACCUCCCAUCAGAGGGGAUAACACGUGCAAACAGGUGCUAAACCGAGACUGAUGGAUGGACCCGCGGUGCAUUAGCUAGUUGGUGGGGUAACGGCUCACCAAGGCCACGAUGCAUAGCCUGCCUGAGAGGGUGUUCGGCCACACUGGGGCUUGGACUGGACCCAGACGCCUACGGGAGGCAGCCGUCUGGAAUCUUCGGCAAUGGAGGCAAGUAUAACCGAACAACGCCGCGUGAGUGAAGAAGGUUUUCGGAUCGUUAAACUCUGUUGUUAGAGAGGCGGUAUCUAAACAGAAAGCCACGGCUAACUACGUGCCAGCGGCCGCGGUAAUUG
rnacentral:rRNA from 1 species